UUUCUCUCCUUUCUUCCUGUUUGAGUUGUACUUGUUAUUCAAAGGGUCAGCCCUUGUCACUCUCGUGUGUCACGCUGAUUAUCCCCGAGAACUACGUUAAGGGUACACGUGUCUGUGAAUGCCUCAGCAUUUGCACGUUAAUUUCACGAGCAAGCUGUUCGUUGAUCG